UACGAAGGGUGCAAGCGUUAUCCGGAUUUAUUGGGGUUAAAGGGUGCGUAGGCGGACUUAUAAGUCAGUGGUGAAAUCUCGUUGCUUAACAACGAACGUGCCAUUGAUACUGUAGGUCUUGAGUACAGAUGCCGUUGGCGGAAUGUGUCAUGUAGCGGUGAAAUGCAUAGAUAUGACACAGAACACCGAUUGCGAAGGCAGCUGACGAAACUGUAACUGACGCUGAGGCACGAAAGCGUGGGGAUCAAACAGG
rnacentral:rRNA from 1 species